rnacentral:rRNA from 1 species
GACGAACGCUGGCGGCGUGCCUAAUACAUGCAAGUUGAGCGCUGAAGGCUGGUACUUGUACCGACUGGAUGAGCAGCGAACGGGUGAGUAACGCGUGGGGAAUCUGCCUUUGAGCGAGGGACAACAUUUGGAAACGAAUGCUAAUACCGCAUAACAACUUUAAACACAAGUUUUAAGUUUGAAAGAUGCAAUUGCAUCACUCAAAGAUGAUCCCGCGUUGUAUUAGCUAGUUGGUGAGGUAAAGGCUCACCAAGGCGAUGAUACAUAGCCGACCUGGGAGGGUGAUCGGCCACAUUGGGACUGAGACACGGCCCAAACUCCUACGGGAGGCAGCAGUAGUCUCGCUUCGGCAAUGGACGAAAGUCUGCCCGAGCAACGACCCGCGAGUGAAGAAUGGUGUCGGAUCGUACAACUCUGUUGGUAGAGAAGAACGUUGGUGAGAGUGGAAAGCUCAUCAAGUGACGGUAACUACCCAGAAAGGGACGGCUAACUACGUGCCAGCCGCCGCCGUAA